rnacentral:rRNA from 1 species
AUACGUAGGUGGCGAGCGUUGUCCGGAAUGAUUGGGCGUAAAGGGCGCGUAGGCGGCCCGGUAAGUCUGGAGUGAAAGUCCUGUUUUUAAGAUGGGAAUUGCUUUGGAUACUGUCGGGCUUGAGUGCAGGAGAGGUAAGUGGAAUUCCCAGUGUAGCGGUGAAAUGCGUAGAGAUUGGGAGGAACACCAGUGGCGAAGGCGACUUACUGGACUGUAACUGACGCUGAGGCGCGAAAGUGUGGGGAGCAAACAGGAUUAGAUACCCUGGUAGUCCACACUGUAAACGAUGAAUGCUAGGUGUAGGGGGUAUCGACCCCUUCUGUGCCGCAGUCAACACAAUAAGCAUUCCGCCUGGGGAGUACGGCCGCAGGGUUGAAACUCAAAUGAAUUGGCGGGG